GAGAGGGGUCUGUUGGAAGGCCCGAGUCUCACAGGGAGACAUGACAUUUAUCACUCGACUAUUCUAUCGACAGUGAUAUGUCAUCAUCUUCCUUUGAGCGACGGCCUUCCCUCUCUCUCU
rnacentral:pre_miRNA from 1 species